rnacentral:rRNA from 1 species
AGAGCGAACGCUGGCGGCAGGCCUAAUACAUGCAAGUCGAACGCACCUUCGGGUGAGUGGCGGACGGGUGAGUAACACGUGGGAACGUGCCUUUUGGUUCGGAAUAAUCCGGGGAAACCUGGCCUAAUACCGGAUGUGCCCUUCGGGGGAAAGAUUUAUCGCCAUUAGAGCGGCCCGCGUCUGAUUAGCUUGUUGGUGGGGUAAUGGCCCACCAAGGCUACGAUCAGUAGCUGGUCUGAGAGGAUGAUCAGCCACACUGGGACUGAGACACGGCCCAGACUCCUACGGGAGGCAGCAGUAGGGAAUCUUGCGCAAUGGGCGAAAGCCUGACGCAGCCAUGCCGCGUGAAUGAUGAAGGUCUUAGGAUUAGUAAAAUUCUUUCAGCGGGAAGAUAAUGACUGUACCCGCAGAAGAAGCUCCGGCUAACUCGCGCCAGCAGCCGC